UCAAGCACUUUCAUCAUAGAUUUGAUAAUGAUUAGGCGGCCUUGUCAAAAGAAAUUUAUGUUCUGAAAGUCUCAACUAAAUGAAGAAAAUAUUUGUCGAGCAUUAUGUAACAAAGAUCAGUACAAACAAGAUAUGUUAGAACGAAAAGAUAUAAAGGUUAUAUCCAUUUAAAAACUGCGGGUAUGCUUGAAAAUUUUGACAUGUAAACCAAUCAUUUGACUUUGGAGUGGGGCGAAAGACUAAUCAAACAAUCUGGUAGCUAAUUCCCUCUGCAAUUCCCUUUAGGAUAGCUGGGAUACGAAAUGAAGCUGUUAUAUUCGAUAAAGCGAAUGAUUAGAGGUUCAACCUAUUCUUAAACUUUCAUUGAGUAUGACAUCUCGCUUGCUUGAAUAAAGAAUAGACAUGAAAUGUAAGCUCCAUGUAGACCAUUUUUGGUAAGCAGAAUUGGUGCUGUAGGAUUACACGACCACUGACAACUUAUUUAUGAAUAAAUAAAGCCAUGUUUGUCUCGUUUGACCUUCAGAUGUGCACGAGAUAGC
rnacentral:ncRNA from 1 species